rnacentral:rRNA from 1 species
UGGGGAAUAUUGCACAAUGGGCGCAAGCCUGAUGCAGCCAUGCCGCGUGUAUGAAGAAGGCCUUCGGGUUGUAAAGUACUUUCAGCGGGGAGGAAGGCGAUAAGGUUAAUAACCUUGUCGAUUGACGUUACCCGCAGAAGAAGCACCGGCUAACUCCGUGCCAGCAGCCGCGGUAAUACGGAGGGUGCAAGCGUUAAUCGGAAUUACUGGGCGUAAAGCGCACGCAGGCGGUCUGGCAAGUCGGAUGUGAAAUCCCCGGGCUCAACCUGGGAACUGCAUUCGAAACUGGCAGGCUAGAGUCUUGUAGAGGGGGGUAGAAUUCCAAGUGUAGCGGUGAAAUGCGUAGAGAUCUGGAGGAAUACCGGUGGCGAAGGCGGCCCCCUGGACAAAGACUGACGCUCAGGUGCGAAAGCGUGGGGAGCAAACA